rnacentral:rRNA from 1 species
AACGAACGCUGGCGGCGUGCCUAACACAUGCAAGUCGUGCGAGAAAGCCUCCUUCGGGGGGUUAGUAAAGCGGCGCACGGGUGAGUAACACGUGGGCAACCUGCCCUUGAGACUGGGACAACCCAGGGAAACCCGGGCUAAUACCAGAUACGGCCUUGGGAUCUUCGGAUCCCUUGGAGAAAUGAUGGCCUCUGCUUGCAAGCCAUCGCUCGAGGAUGGGCCCGCGGCCCAUUAGCUAGUUGGUGAGGCAACGGCUCACCAAGGCAAUGAUGGGUAGCUGGUCUGAGAGGAUGAUCAGCCACACUGGGACUGAGACACGGCCCAGACUCCUACGGGAGGCAGCAGUGGGGAAUUUUGGGCAAUGGGCGAAAGCCUGACCCAGCAACGCCGCGUGCAGGAUGAAGGCCCUCGGGUCGUAAACUGCUGUCGGGAGGGAAGAACAGCAGCGGAGGGAAUAUCUCCGUUGCCUGACGGUACCUCCAAAGG